AUUGAACGCUGGCGGCAUGCCUUACACAUGCAAGUCGAACGGUAACAGGUCUUCGGAUGCUGACGAGUGGCGAACGGGUGAGUAAUUCAUCGGAACGUGCCCGAUCGUGGGGGAUAACGGAGCGAAAGCUUUGCUAAUACCGCAUAAGAUCUACGGAUGAAAGCAGGGGACCGCAAGGCCUUGCGCGAACGGAGCGGCCGAUGGCAGAUUAGGUAGUUGGUGGGAUAAAAGCUUACCAAGCCGACGAUCUGUAGCUGGUCUGAGAGGACGACCAGCCACACUGGGACUGAGACACGGCCCAGACUCCUACGGGAGGCAGCAGUGGGGAAUUUUGGACAAUGGGCGCAAGCCUGAUCCAGCCAUGCCGCGUGCAGGAUGAAGGCCUUCGGGUUGUAAACUGCUUUUGUACGGAACGAAAAGACUCUUUCUAAUAAAGAGGGUCCAUGACGGUACCGUAAGAAUAAGCACCGGCUAACUACGUGCCAGCAGCCGCAGUAAAAC
rnacentral:rRNA from 1 species